rnacentral:rRNA from 1 species
CCAAUAGCGUAUAUUAAAGUUGUUGCAGUUAAAAAGCUCGUAGUUGAAUUUCGGGAUUUGUCCAUUGGUCGGGCCUCACGGUCCGUACUGGUGUGAUGGGUUCCUACCUUCUGAAUAACCAGCAUGCCAUUUAUUUGGUGCGCCGGGGAAGCAGAGCUAUUACCUUGAAAAAAUUAGAGUGCUUAAAGCGGGCUAUUGCUUGAAUAGAUUAGCAUGGAAUAAUAAAAUAGGACGGCAUGGUUCUAUUUUGUUGGUUUCUAGGAUCACCGUAAUGAUUAAUAGGGAUAGUUGGGGGCAUUAGUAUUCAAUUGUCAGAGGUGAAAUUCUUGGAUUUAUUGAAGACUAACUUCUGCGAAAGCAUUUGCCAAGGAUGUUUUCAUUAAUCAAGAACGAAAGUUAGGGGAUCGAAGACGAUCAGAUACCGUCGUAGUCUUAACCAUAAACUAUGCCGACUAGGGAUCGGACGAUGUUAAUUUUAUAAUGACUCGUUCGGCGCCUUACG